AGAGUUUGAUCAUGGCUCAGAACGAACGCUGGCGGCAUGCCUAACACAUGCAAGUCGAACGAACCCUUCGGGGUUAGUGGCGCACGGGUGCGUAACACGUGGGAAUCUGCCCUUUGCUUCGGAAUAACAGUUAGAAAUGACUGCUAAUACCGGAUGAUGUCGUAAGACCAAAGAUUUAUCGGCAAAGGAUGAGCCCGCGUAGGAUUAGGUAGUUGGUGGGGUAAAGGCCUACCAAGCCGACGAUCCUUAGCUGGUCUGAGAGGAUGAUCAGCCACACUGGGACUGAGACACGGCCCAGACUCCUACGGGAGGCAGCAGUGGGGAAUAUUGGACAAUGGGCGAAAGCCUGAUCCAGCAAUGCCGCGUGAGUGAUGAAGGCCUUCGGGUUGUAAAGCUCUUUACCAGGGAUGAUAAUGACAGUACCUGGAGAAUAAGCUCCGGCUAACUCCGUG
rnacentral:rRNA from 1 species